UACGGAGGGUGCGAGCGUUGUCCGGAAUCAUUGGGCGUAAAGGGCGCGUAGGUGGCCCGGUCAGUCUUUGGUGAAAGCGCGGGGCUCAACCCUGCGUCGGCCAGGGAUACUGCCGCGGCUCGAGCACUGUAGAGGCAGGCGGAAUUCCGGGUGUAGCGGUGGAAUGCGUAGAGAUCCGGAAGAACACCGGUGGCGAAGGCGGUCUGCUGGGCAGUUGCUGACACUGAGGCGCGACAGCGUGGGGAGCAAACAGG
rnacentral:rRNA from 1 species